rnacentral:rRNA from 1 species
AUUGAACGCUGGCGGCAGGCUUAACACAUGCAAGUCGAACGGAGUGGGGACGGGUGAGUAACACGUGGGUAACCUCCCAUCAGAGGGGAUAACACUUGGAAACAGGUGCUAAACCGAUACUGAUGGAUGGACCCGCGGUGCAUUAGCUAGUUGGUGGGGUAACGGCUCACCAAGGCCACGAUGCAUAGCCGACCUGAGAGGGGGAUCGGCCACACUGGGACUGAGACACGGCCCAGACUCCUACGGGAGGCAGCAGUAGGGAAUCUUCGGCAAUGGACGAAAGUCUGACCGAGCAACGCCGCGUGAGUGAAGAAGGUUUUCGGAUCGUAAAACUCUGUUGUUAGAGAAGUGGUAUCUUACCAGAAAGGGACGGCUAACUACGUGCCAGCAGCCGCGGGAAUU